rnacentral:rRNA from 1 species
GCCCAGCUUGCUGGGUGGAUCAGUGGCGAACGGGUGAGUAACACGUGAGCAAUCUGCCCCUGACUCUGGGAUAAGCGCUGGAAACGGCGUCUAAUACUGGAUACGAACCGUGGAGGCAUCUUCAACGGUUGGAAAGAUUUUUUGGUCAGGGAUGAGCUCGCGGCCUAUCAGCUUGUUGGUGAGGUAAUGGCUCACCAAGGCGUCGACGGGUAGCCGGCCUGAGAGGGUGACCGGCCACACUGGGACUGAGACACGGCCCAGACUCCUACGGGAGGCAGCAGUGGGGAAUAUUGCACAAUGGGCGAAAGCCUGAUGCAGCAACGCCGCGUGAGGGACGACGGCCUUCGGGUUGUAAACCUCUUUUAGCAGGGAAGAAGCGAAAGUGACGGUACCUGCAGAAAAAGCGCCGGCUAACUACGUGCCAGCAGCCGCGGUAAUACGUAGGGCGCAAGCGUUAUCCGGAAUUAUUGGGCGUAAAGAGCUCGUAGGCGGUUUGUCGCGUCUGCUGUGAAAUCCCGAGGCUCAACCUCGGGCCUGCAGUGGGUACGGGCAGACUAGAG